ACUGGGCUAGCUCAGUGGGUAGAGCAUGAGACUCUUAAUCUCACAGUCGUGGGUUCAUGCCCCACGUUGGGCG
rnacentral:tRNA from 1 species